rnacentral:guide_RNA from 1 species
AACCACAAUCAAUAAGUAAGAGACUACUAGAUGAUAGAUAAUUAGAUUA